CGCCCUUAGAGUUUGAUCAUGGCUCAGGACGAACGCUGGCGGCGUGCCUAAUACAUGCAAGUCGAACGCAGCUUGCUUUGGUAAGAUGAGUGGCGAACGGGUGAGUAACACGUGGGUAACCUGCCUAUCAGAGGGGGAUAACACUUGGAAACAGGUGCUAAUACCGCAUAGAUUUCUUUCGCAUGAAAAGAGAGGAAAGACGUACGUGUCACUGAUAGAUGGACCCGCGGUGCAUUAGCUAGUUGGUGAGGUAACGGCUCACCAAGGCCAUGAUGCAUAGCCGACCUGAGAGGGUGAUCGGCCACACUGGGACUGAGACACGGCCCAGACUCCUACGGGAGGCAGCAGUAGGGAAUCUUCGGCAAUGGACGAAAGUCUGACCGAGCAACGCCGCGUGAGUGAAGAAGGUUUUCGGAUCGUAAAACUCUGUUGUUAGAGAAGAAUAGGUAGGAGUGACUUCCUGCCAUGACGGUAUCUAACCAGAAAGCCACGGCUAACUACGUGCCAGCAGCCGCGGUAAUACGUAGGUGGCAA
rnacentral:rRNA from 1 species